UACGUAGGGGGCAAGCGUUGUCCGGAAUCAUUGGGCGUAAAGCGCGUGUAGGCGGUUCGGUAAGUCUGCUGUGAAAGUCCAGGGCUCAACCCUGGGAUGCCGGUGGAUACUGUCGGGCUAGAGUACGGAAGAGGCGAGUGGAAUUCCCGGUGUAGCGGUGAAAUGCGCAGAUAUCAGGAGGAACACCAAUUGCGAAGGCAGCUCGCUGGGACGUUACUGACGCUGAGACGCGAAAGCGUGGGGAGCAAACAGG
rnacentral:rRNA from 1 species